ACGAACGCUGGCGGCGUGCCUAAUACAUGCAAGUAGAACGCUGAAGGAGGAGCUUGCUUCUCCGGAUGAGUUGCGAACGGGUGAGUAACGCGUAGGUAACCUGCCUGGUAGCGGGGGAUAACUAUUGGAAACGAUAGCUAAUACCGCAUAACAGUAGAUAUCGCAUGAUAUCUACUUGAAAGGUGCAAUUGCAUCACUACCAGAUGGACCUGCGUUGUAUUAGCUAGUUGGUGAGGUAACGGCUCACCAAGGCGACGAUACAUAGCCGACCUGAGAGGGUGAUCGGCCACACUGGGACUGAGACACGGCCCAGACUCCUACGGGAGGCAGCAGUAGGGAAUCUUCGGCAAUGGACGGAAGUCUGACCGAGCAACGCCGCGUGAGUGAAGAAGGUUUUCGGAUCGUAAAGCUCUGUUGUAAGAGAAGAACGAGUGUGAGAGUGGAAAGUUCACACUGUGACGGUAUCUUACCAGAAAGGGACGGCUAACUACGUG
rnacentral:rRNA from 1 species